AGUGAACGCUGGCGGCGUGCCUAAUACAUGCAAGUCGAACGGAGUGGCGCACGGGUGAGUAAUGUAUAGCUAAUCUGCCCUACACUAGAGGAAAACAGUUGGAAACGACUGCUAAUACUCUAUAGUGUAGGAUGAGGCGAUAUUGUAUCAGCUAGUUGGUGAGGUAAUGGCUCACCAAGGCUAUGACGCAUAACUGGUCUGGGGGGAUGGGCAGUCACCCUGGAACUGAGGCACGGUCCGGGCUCCUUCGGGAGGGAGCAGUAGGGAAUAUUGCUCAAUGGGCGAAACCCAGAAGCGGCAACGGCGCGUGGAGGAUGACACUUUUCGGAGCGUAAACUCCUUUUGUUAUGGAAGCGGUACCUAACGAAUAAGCCCCGGCUAACUCCGUGCCAGCAGCCGCGGUAAUUC
rnacentral:rRNA from 1 species